AAAAGCCACCGCUCAAUUGCCACCGGUUUUUAAGAAUCGGUGGCAAAAAACAGGGGAAAAAUGGGCGGGGAUAUUAUUGCCACCGGUUCAAACCGAACCGGUGGCAAAAAUAUUAUUCCCACCGGUUCAAAACCGGUGGCUUACUAAUAUAAAAAAAACCGGCCCUUUUUUUUUUGGAAGACAAAACCAGCCCUUUAAAUACCCCAAACCCUACAAUUUGACCCACCAUCAGCCGUUUCACACCCACCUCCCCUCAUUCUCUUUCUCUCUCCUCGAUCAGUCGUUCAGCUCGGAUCCCCUCUCCCCUCUUCUCCUUCAUCCUCUCCUCCUUCUCUUUCUCUCUCCUCUCUCCCCUCUCCUCCUUCUCUUUCUCAUCUUCUUCGAUCUCCACCACCACCAAUUUUUCCACCACUUCGAAGACCACCACCGCAACAAUAACACCAAGAACACAUGCAUGAGCAACAACGACUUGAAUCGAGGUAUAUUGAUUUAGAUGUAGAUGUUAAAUCGAAGAAUAAAGAUGCAGGAUUAUUGAUUUAGGUGUUAUAUGGGUUGUUUUUUAAUUUUAAUGUUGUAAUUUUUUUUUGGAUUUUUUUUUGUAAAUUUUUUUUUUUUAUUUUAAUGUUGGAAUUUUAGUUUUGUGUAAUUUGAUUAAUUUAGUUCUUUUAAAUUGGAAUUGUUGUAUGAGUAAAUUAGUUGUAGUUAUUAAUUUAGUUUUUUCACUCUUAAAAAGUGUACAAUUACUAGAUACUGAUGAAUAUAUAUGUGUUUUUAUGGAGUUAGGAUAAUAAUUAGGGACUAAAGUUUUAUACUUUUCACCUUUUGCUACCCAAACUUUUUUCUUUCACCGUUUGGGACCUAGGAAAGAAUUUUAAACAAAUAAAUUAACUAUGGUUAAGCAUUGCGACCCACUAAUUGUUUAAUUUACUAUUUCCAAAAAAUAGGUAAGUUGUGUUUACCCCAAAAAAAAUAAAAAAGGUGCCUUUUCAACUUGACUUGUUCAUCAGAAUACUCUUGUUCAUCAUCAACCUCCCUUUGAAGAAAAAUUGAACCUUGCUUUGAAGCUUAUUUUGGUGCAGAUAAUUAGCAGUGUGUUAAGCAUCUUAACAUAAGUAUGGAGGUACCACUAUGCAUUAUUCUUCAUCAUGGUGGAAAGUGGGAGAACACUCCAGAGUUCAAAUAUGUUGGGGGAAGUAUCAAGUUGAUCAAUGACAUUCCUUCUGAUUUUGAUGCAAGUUAUUUGAAGGCUUUCAUUACAUCCUUAGGGUAUAGAAACAUAAUUAAGCUACACUACUGUGAUCCACUUAAGAGUAUGCGUAAUGGUGUUAUAUUUUUGGGAUAUGAGGAUGUAAUAUUCACUAAGUUCAAAAGCUUAUUGUAUGAGUACGGAAUGAUAGAUGUCUUUAUAGAACAUGAUGAUGAGGGGUAUGUUCAGAACUUGACUAAAGCAAAGUAUGGUAAUGUCCCGAGCCUUGAGGACAUAGUACAAGGUGAGUUGGAUGGUGCUAUGACUGAAACUGAUUUUCUUGCCACUCAAGAGAAUGACGUUGUUGUUCUUAAUGAGCCAAUUGCUAGUGUUGUAACUGAGAAUAUUGACUAUGAUGAAGAAGGUUCUGACAAUGAAGAUGAUGAAGUGAAGGAAGCUAGGUUUCAAAUUAAGGUUGAUAAAAAAGCAGAGGAAGACCAUGUCAAUGAAGAAGACUCCUUGCAAAGACUUGCUGAAUGAAAGGGUAAGAUAUUAGAAGAUAAUGGAACUGAUUAUGAAGAUGAAUCCUCUGAUUUAGAUAGCCCUUCAAAUUCAGAAGAUGAAGACGAUUGUGGGUACCUAUUACCAGAGUAUGCAAUUAAAAGUAAACCAAGAAAGUCAUCACCUGGUGGACAAUUUCUUCAUAGAAAAAAUCAGCAACAAUGUCCCUUUUUCCUAGGACAACAGUUUGAGGAUACAUCAGAGUUCAGAACUGCACUAACCAACUACUCUGUGUCAAUAGGAAGAGAUUUGCAGUACACUAAAAAUGAUGCUAAAAAACUAGGAGUGAAGUGUAAGGAGUAGAGUUGUCCUUUUUACAUUUGGGUUUCAUUAGAGAAAGGGAAGAAAACCAUGACUGUUAAGACAUUGAAACCACAACACAAUUAUGGAAGGGUAUCACAGGUGAAGAAAAUGAGAGCUAAAUGGAUUGCAAAAACAUAUCACAAUAAGUUCAAAGUCAACCCAUACUUGAAGUGUCAAGAGAUUAUUGAUACAAUCUGGUCAGAGUGAGGAGUUAAAGCAUCUUUGUGGUUAGCUUUAAAAGCAAGAAGGGCAGCUCAGAAUGUGAUAUUAGGGGAGUGUGCAGAGCGAUAUGGAUUGUUGUAUAGGUAUGUUAAGGAGAUAAAGAGGUUUAAUCCACAAAACACAAUUAAAUUCAAGCUAGAUAAUGGUGUGUUUGAGAGGGCGUAUAUAUGCUUUGAUGCUAUUAUGAAAGGAUUUUUAGAUGGUUGUAGGCCAUUCUUUGGGAUUGAUGGCUGUUUUUUAAAAGGUCCAUUUGGAGGUCAGUUACUUGUGGCUGUUGGUAGGGAUGGAAACAACCAGAUGUUUCCUAUUGCGUGGGCUUGUGUUAAAGUUGAAAGCACUGAGACAUGGGGUUGGUUUUUACAGUUAUUAGCGGAUGAUUUGGGAACCCCGGAUGGUUUUGGAUACACAAUAAUGUCUGAUCAACAAAAAGGGUUGCUCAAAGCUAUUUCAAUUGUUUGGCCAAGAGCAGAUACAAGGUGUUGUGCACGACAUGUCUUCUGUAAUUUCAGGCAAGUUUUUGGGGGUGGUCUACUAUAUUGAAGAGGGUUUUGGAAGAUUGCCAAAAGCACAACUGAAAAUGACUUCAAAAGAAACAUGGAGUUAUUUGCUUCUAUAAAUCUUCCAGCAGCAAAGGAUUUAUUGAAAAGAAACUACAAAAAAUGGGUGAGAGCUUUUUUGACAACUACAAGUACUUGUGAUAGCAUAGACAACAAUAUGAAUGAAGUUUUCAAUGCAUAUAUCUUAUCAUCAAGACACAAACCUAUAGUCAGCAUGCUAGAAGACAUUAGGGAAGGUUUGAUGGAAAGAUUGCAUAAGAAGAGAGAUUUCAUUCUUAAUAAAGAUAUUGAAAUAUGUCCAAGGGUACAAGCUAGGUUGGAAAAGUCUAAGUUGGAUGCAAGAGGUUGGUCUGCAUUUUGGGAUGGACAUUUCACGUACGGUGUUAGGGAAGGUGCAACACAAGUUAGAUGUGUUGUAAGUUUGCUUGAGAAGACAUGCAGUUGUAAUGCUUGGCAACUAAGUGGAAUCCCUUGCAACCAUGCUGUGACUGCAAUUUGGAAAGCACAUGAACACCCAGAGCACUAUGUGUCUAAGUACUAUAGCAAAACAACGUACUUAAAAGCAUAUGCAUUCCCGUUAGAACCACUCAAUGGACCCCAAGAGUGGUCUGUAUCAACAAAAACACCAAUUCAAGCUCCUCCCUUUAAAAAGCUUCAAAACAGACCCACCACUAAAAGAAAGCCUUCAUUAGGUGAAGUUGAGGCCACCAAAUUGUCAAAAAAAAGGCACAUCACAGAUACACAAGUGCAGCAGUUGCAGAGAACCUGGCCACAACAAAAAGAAGUGUCCUUGGCCACAACAAAAUCCAACUGUCAACUACAAUGUACAAAAGCAACCACAGAAAAAUAUGCAUACUACUGCAACCCCAGCUGCUUCUAACACACAACAAUCCCAGACAAGCAAAGACACUUACCCAAACGAGUAUCAAAGACAAUCAGUGAGUAUAAUUCCACCUCAAUCAAGUCAUGCAUUUGUACCAAGUCAGUCAAGUCAUGGAUCAAACACAAAUCAUUUAACACAACAAAAUUCAUUGUAUAAUGGACCAACAAGAUUGUUCUAAUUUCAUUAAAAUGCAAGGUUUAAACAUUGGUUUGGAAGAGCAAGAAAAGGGAAUUCGAAAAAAAAAAACAGAGUAAAUUGGAGAUGAUAUGAAGAAGGCUUGCUGUUAUUAUUAGAUGUUGGAAGUUGCGUGCUUUUGUGGAUGUUGGAUGCUAUUGUUUUUGUUUUGAAAUUUUAGAUUGUGGUUUGUUAUUUUAGUUUAAGGUAAAAAAAUCAGGAACAUAGUUAAGUCUAAUUUUUGAAGUAGAUAUUUUUUUUUAUUAAAAUCUAUAACUGGAUUGUGGUUCACGAUCUUAUUUUGCUUUGGAUAACUUUGUUUUUUUUUUAAUUCCAAUUAAUGCUCAAGUUGGUUAGAAAAUUUUUCAGAUGGGUUAAAUGACUUGAAAUUUAACCACAGGUCCCAAACGGUUAAAGAAAAAAAUUCGGGUCCCAAAAGGUGAAAAGUAUAAAACUUUAGUCCCUAAUUAUUACCUUAACUCUGUUUUAUGUAUUUUACAUAUAUAUAUAUUUUCUGCUACAAUUUAAGUGAAAUAAAUGCAAUUUUUUUUUUUGUUUUUUG